rnacentral:rRNA from 1 species
UACGGAGGGUGCAAGCGUUAUCCGGAUUUACUGGGUUUAAAGGGUGCGUAGGUGGGCAGGUAAGUCAGUGGUGAAAUCUCCGAGCUUAACUCGGAAACUGCCAUUGAUACUAUCUGUCUUGAAUAUCCUGGAGGUAAGCGGAAUAUGUCAUGUAGCGGUGAAAUGCUUAGAUAUGACAUAGAGCACCAAUUGCGAAGGCAGCUUACUACGGGAUUAUUGACACUGAGGCACGAAAGCGUGGGGGUCAAACAGG